rnacentral:tRNA from 1 species
AAUCCGUUCGUCUAGGGGUUAGGACGUCAGGAUUUCAUCCUGAAAACAGAGGUUCGAUUCCUCUACGGAUUACCA